rnacentral:rRNA from 1 species
UGCUAGGAAUCUGCCUGGUAGUGGGGGACAACGUUUCGAAAGGAACGCUAAUACCGCAUACGUCCUACGGGAGAAAGCAGGGGACCUUCGGGCCUUGCGCUAUCAGAUGAGCCUAGGUCGGAUUAGCUAGUUGGUGAGGUAAUGGCUCACCAAGGCGACGAUCCGUAACUGGUCUGAGAGGAUGAUCAGUCACACUGGAACUGAGACACGGUCCAG